UUGGAGGGCAAGUCUGGUGCCAGCAGCCGCGGUAAUUCCAGCUCCAAUAGCGUAUAUUAAAGUUGUUGCAGUUAAAAAGCUCGUAGUUGAAUUUCGGGGUUUAUACGUUGGUCGGGCUUUUGGGUCUGUACUGGCGUAAUGAAUUCCUACCUUCUGAAUAACCAGCAUGUCAUUAAUUUGAUGCGCCGGGGAAGCAGGACUGUUACCUUGAAAAAAUUAGAGUGCUUAAAGCAGGCUAUUGCCUGAAUACAUUAGCAUGGAAUAAUGAAAUAGGACGGCAUGGUUCUACUUUGUUGGUUUCUAGGAUCACCGUAAUGAUUAAUAGGGAUAGUUGGGGGCAUUAGUAUUCAAUUGUCAGAGGUGAAAUUCUUGGAUUUAUUGAAGACUAACUUCUGCGAAAGCAUUUGCCAAGGAUGUUUUCAUUAAUCAAGAACGAAAGUUAGGGGAUCGAAGACGAUCAGAUACCGUCGUAGUCUUAACCAUAAACUAUGCCGACUAGGGAUCGGACGAUGUUAAUUUUUUAAUGACUCGUUCGGCGCCUUACGGGAAAC
rnacentral:rRNA from 1 species